rnacentral:rRNA from 1 species
CCGAUUCGCCCGCCGCGCCCCGCGCCCGUCCCGCCGCCCCCGCCCGCUCCUACGGGAGGCAGCAGUGGGGAAUAUUGCACAAUGGGCGCAAGCCUGAUGCAGCGACGCCGCGUGCGGGAUGGAGGCCUUCGGGUUGUAAACCGCUUUUGUUCAAGGGCAAGGCACGGUCUUUGGCCGUGUUGAGUGGAUUGUUCGAAUAAGCACCGGCUAACUACGUGCCAGCAGCCGCGGUAAUACAAUCCAUAUGACUAG